rnacentral:rRNA from 1 species
AUUGAACGCUGGCGGCAGGCCUAACACAUGCAAGUCGAGCGGAGCGGCGGACGGGUGAGUAAUGCCUAGGAAUCUGCCUGGUCGUGGGGGAUAACGUCCGGAAACGGGCGCUACUCCCGCAUACUAUCAGAUGAGCCUAGGUCGGAUUAGCUAGUUGGUGGGGUAAAGGCUUACCAAGGCGACGAUCCGUAACUGGGCUGAGAGGAUGAUCAGUCACACUGGAACUGAGACACGGGCCAGACUCCUACGGGAGGCAGCAGUGGGGAAUAGUGCACAAUGGGCGCAAGCCUGAUGCAGCCAUGCCGCGUGUAUGAAGAAGGUCUUCGGGUGGUAAAGGACUUUCAGUCGGGAGGCGUUACCGACAGAAGAAGCACCGGCUAACUCCGUGCCAGCAGCCGCGGUAAUUC